rnacentral:rRNA from 1 species
CACAUGCAAGUCGAGGGGAACGACAUCGAAAGCUUGCUUUUGAUGGGCGUCGACCGGCGCACGGGUGAGUAACGCGUAUCCAACCUGCCCACCACUUGGGAAUAACCUUGCGAAAGUAAGACUAAUACCCAAUGACGUCUCUAGAAGACAUCUGAAAGAGAUUAAAGAUUUAUCGGUGAUGGAUGGGGAUGCGUCUGAUUAGCUUGUUGGCGGGGUAACGGCCCACCAAGGCGACGAUCAGUAGGGGUUCUGAGAGGAAGGUCCCCCACAUUGGAACUGAGACACGGUCCAAACUCCUACGGGAGGCAGCAGUGAGGAAUAUUGGUCAAUGGGCGAGAGCCUGAACCAGCCAAGUAGCGUGCAGGAUGACGGCCCUAUGGGUUGUAAACUGCUUUUAUAAGGGAAUAAAGUGAGUCUCGUGAGACUUUUUGCAUGUACCUUAUGAAUAAGGACCGGCUAAUUCCGUGCCAGCAGCCGCGGUAAUACGGAAGGUCCGGGCGUUAUCCGGAUUUAUUGGGUUUAAAGGGAGCGUAGGCCGGAGAUUAAGCGUGUUGUGAAAUGUAGACGCUCAACGUCUGCACUGCAGCGCGAACUGGUUUCCUUGAGUACGCACAAAGUGGGCGGAAUUCGUGGUGUAGCGGUGAAAUGCUUAGAUAUCACGAAGAACUCCGAUUGCGAAGGCAGCUCACUGGAGCGCAACUGACGCUGAAGCUCGAAAGUGCGGGUAUCGAACAGGAUUAGAUACCCUGGUAGUCCGCACGGUAAACGAUGGAUGCCCGCUGUUGGUCUGAAUAGGUCAGCGGCCAAGCGAAAGCAUUAAGCAUCCCACCUGGGGAGUACGCCGGCAACGGUGAAACUCAAAGGAAUUGACGGGGGCCCGCACAAGCGGAGGAACAUGUGG